AGACAGAUUUAGAUCCAGGACGCGGACGUCAAAAAAACGACGUGAAAAUGGCGUGUUGUGCCCAUGUAUGGAUAUCCCACGCCAUUUUGACGCCAUUUCCACGUCGUCUUUGACGUCCGCGUCCUCGAUCUAAAUGUGUCU
rnacentral:miRNA from 1 species